rnacentral:misc_RNA from 1 species
UUUCCGUAGGUGAACCUGCGGAAGGAUCAUUACAGAGUUCAUGCCCUCACGGGUAGAUCUCCCACCCUUGAAUAUUUAUACCUUAGUUGCUUUGGCAGGCCGUGGAAGCACCAUGGGCUCCGGCUUAUGCGUGCCUGCCAGAGGAAACAAACUCUGUUUUUAGUGAUGUCUGAGUGCUAUAUAAUAGUUAAAACUUUCAACAACGGAUCUCUUGGUUCUG